GGCUAGCACCAAGAGUGAUUCCAUGUUUCGUAUGCUGAUAGGAAUCUAUGGAUCUGAUAUGUUGGUCCAUGGAGCCGAUUUCUGGGAUUACAUUU